UGAGACCAAACUGAUUUCCUGUUUAUUAGAGGCAGAGGUGCUCUGCUUGAGAAAUACCAAUCCAUUAAAGUCACAUUUUAAGACAUUUAAAUAUCUGGCAUAUAAUAAAUGGAUUUAGAUAAGUGCUAAUGAUACAAAAAUUUUAGACUGUUUUUAACCUAAAGCUUACUGAAAGGUUUUGUCUGAAGAACUCUUAUCUAUACACAAAUAUAAGUAUGGGAGAGAGAUUCCUGGUUACCAUGGAAUCUGUAUGCCAGAAAUAAAAAUCUGAACAAUUACUGAACUUUUAAUACAUACUUUU
rnacentral:lncRNA from 1 species